ensembl:lncRNA
AUGAGACAGCAGCGAGCGGCCGUGUGGAGGAGCCCCACUCAGGAGGGCUCCCUGUGCUUACACCAACCCCACCAGGCCCUGGGUGUGGCAGCCUCAGGGGCCAGGACCCACGGCACCUGCUGCAGGUGCACCCUGAUUCCCACUCCCACCUCGCCCUCACCACCUCUCUUCCACACCCAAAGCUGGCCACCAGUUGCAGAGGAGCCCGGCUUGCGAUCUGCCUCUUACGCUCUCCCUAAGCGGCCGGCAGCGGCCGAGAGCCAGCCCAGAGCAGGCGAGCAGUGGCUGGGCACUCUGUGUUCAGGGGCGUCACCUCCGCCAGCCUGGACACCAGCCUCUGGGGGUAGGAGGGGACACUCAGGGGCCAUGCCCUGCCCUGGUGGUCUAUCAUCCAUGGCUUCAGCCCCCACUUGCGGCUGGGCCAGUUGCUGGCGGGCCCCACAGCAGCUACAGGGGGCUUCUGAUGGGGUCAGAACAGCCGGCUCAGGUCGUCUGCCCUGCUGUCCCCUUUCCCUUUCUUCCCCACCCCCAGCAAGAGGCAGUGGCUCUGGGGAGGCCGCAGACCACCCUGUGAGCACAGCCUGCUGGCAGCCGGCACAUGGAGCCGGCAUGUGGCCAGUGGGAAUGCCCAGACCCCAGGGCUGGCUUCGACCUUGGCCUUGGCACACUUCUCCCAGCACUGCGGGCUUCUUCCUGGUCCACUGUGUCCCUGGACUUGGCCCAAGAGCAGACUGGCCUCCUGCGCGCUGGGCUGAUGUGUCCAGGCAGCACCCCAGGGCUCAGAGCUGCAGUUGGGUGCACUGGUGGAUCAGUAGGCAGGGCUGGGACGGUGAGACGGGCGGAAGCUGCCUGCACCCCAAGUGCCCCGUGCUCCUUUGCACAUCUUUGUGGCAGGAGUGGGUGACUGGGCUGGGGCGGUCCAGUGGGCAGCUGGGAAGAUGGGAGUGAGCCUAGGUCACGUUGGAGCCUGGAGCUGGGAGGCUGUGGGCAGGGCCUGGCUGGGGGAGGGGGCGGUAUUUCCAGCUUUAGGCCCCCACGCCCCACCCCUCCUGCUGGGUGACCACCACCUCCCUCCGGCCACUCCUGGGGAGCCUGGCCCCUCCUCUCCCGCCUGUGCCCUCUGCCUUGCAGGGGCAGGGCAGGUGUUCCGGUAGCUGGCAGGCCCGAGGCCCGGCGGCGUGGUCACCCGUGUGAGGUGGAACAUGGAAGAAACGUGCCCUGCCAGCGGCCUGGCGCCUGGCCCAGGGGAGCCGGCAGCAAAUGUUCGCAGAACGCAUGUGGACUGAAAAUGCUCUGGACUUUGGCCUGAGCGACAAGUGCCGGGAGCACAGUGACCCCGGGGGAAGCGUGCCUGACGGUGGGGGGAGGCGGCCGGGAGGGUCAGUGAGGGGCGCUGCCGGCCCAGAGCGCCGGGACCUCCUUCCCAGCCCCCGGCCCUGGCUCAGCCUACCGGCAGGGGUGCGGGCGAUAACCAGUGCGCAGGCGCCUGGGGUGGGGGGGCCCGAAGGCGGUGCUGCAGUUCCCCGAGGCGCCGCCGGGGGCGCUGCGGGGGCGGGUUGGACCGGAGCUCCCGGCUGGGUGCCCGCCCGCCCGGGGGCCGCGAGGGAUCAGCGCGGGCGUGCCUCGGCCUCACAGCGCAUCACGCCAGUGCCAGAGUCGCAGCAGGGUUCCCUGAUGGGCGGGGACCGGCUCUGGGCUUCACGAGGUGACCGAAGCCGCGGGAGCAGCCGAGGCUGGAGGCACCUGGAUCGGGACAGAGCUGGGGGUGGGCGUGGGUGGAGGCUCCAGGGCAGUGGGGUGGGGCCCCUCCCUGCUGGGCGCUGGCUCUAGGUCCCUGAGGCUGCACCUGCGGGACCCCUCUCCCUGCUCCUAGCCGGUCGCCCCUACCAGGGUCACCUUUCCCAUCGGCAGGCCUGGAGCUCUGGCUGGGGGCUCCCACGGUUCUUGU